rnacentral:rRNA from 1 species
CAAUCAAACCGGGAGAUAGCUGGUUCUCCCCGAAAGCUAUUUAGGUAGCGCCUCGUGAAUUCAUCUCCGGGGGUAGAGCACUGUUUCGGCUAGGGGGCCAUCCCGGCUUACCAACCCGAUGCAAACUGCGAAUACCGGAGAAUGUUAUCACGGGAGACACACGGCGGGUGCUAACGUCCGUCGUGAAGAGGGAAACAACCCAGACCGCCAGCUAAGGUCCCAAAGUCAUGGUUAAGUGGGAAACGAUGUGGGAAGGCCCAGACAGCCAGGAUGUUGGCUUAGAAGCAGCCAUCAUUUAAAGAAAGCGUAAUAGCUCACUGGUCGAGUCGGCCUGCGCGGAAGAUGUAACGGGGCUAAACCAUGCACCGAAGCUGCGGCAGCGAACGUAUCACCCAAGACAACUUUACGGAGUUGACGAUUGACGGAGCGAAGCGACGUCAAAGCGUUCAUUAAAGUCGAGUUGGCUUAGGGAUACGUUCGUUGGGUAGGGGAGCGUUCUGUAAGCCUGUGAAGGUGUGUCGUGAGGCAUGCUGGAGGUAUCAGAAGUGCGAAUGCUGACAUAAGUAACGAUAAAGCGGGUGAAAAGCCCGCUCGCCGGAAGACCAAGGGUUCCUGUCCAACGUUAAUCGGGGCAGGGUGAGUCGACCCCUAAGGCGAGGCCGAAAGGCGUAGUCGAUGGGAAACGGGUUAAUAUUCCCGUACUUGGUGUUACUGCGAAGGGGGGACGGAGAAGGCUAUGUUGGCCGGGCGACGGUUGUCCCGGUUUAAGCGUGUAGGUGUGUGUUCCAGGUAAAUCCGGUUCACUUUAACACUGAGGCGUGACGACGAGGCACUACGGUGCUGAAGCAACAAAUGCCCUGCUUCCAGGAAAAGCCUCUAAGCAUCAGGUAACACGAAAUCGUACCCCAAACCGACACAGGUGGUCAGGUAGAGAAUACCAAGGCGCUUGAGAGAACUCGGGUGAAGGAACUAGGCAAAAUGGUGCCGUAACUUCGGGAGAAGGCACGCUGACACGUAGGUGAAGUGAUUUACUCAUGGAGCUGAAGUCAGUCGAAGAUACCAGCUGGCUGCAACUGUUUAUUAAAAACACAGCACUGUGCAAACACGAAAGUGGACGUAUACGGUGUGACGCCUGCCCGGUGCCGGAAGGUUAAUUGAUGGGGUCAGCGUAAGCGAAGCUCCUGAUCGAAGCCCCGGUAAACGGCGGCCGUAACUAUAACGGUCCUAAGGUAGCGAAAUUCCUUGUCGGGUAAGUUCCGACCUGCACGAAUGGCGUAAUGAUGGCCAGGCUGUCUCCACCCGAGACUCAGUGAAAUUGAACUCGCUGUGAAGAUGCAGUGUACCCGCGGCAAGACGGAAAGACCCCGUGAACCUUUACUAUAGCUUGACACUGAACAUUGAGCCUUGAUGUGUAGGAUAGGUGGGAGGCUUUGAAGUGUGGACGCCAGUCUGCAUGGAGCCGACCUUGAAAUACCACCCUUUAAUGUUUGAUGUUCUAACGUGGACCCGUAAUCCGGGUUGCGGACAGUGUCUGGUGGGUAGUUUGACUGGGGCGGUCUCCUCCUAAAGAGUAACGGAGGAGCACGAAGGUUGGCUAAUCCUGGUCGGACAUCAGGAGGUUAGUGCAAUGGCAUAAGCCAGCUUGACUGCGAGCGUGACGGCGCGAGCAGGUGCGAAAGCAGGUCAUAGUGAUCCGGUGGUUCUGAAUGGAAGGGCCAUCGCUCAACGGAUAAAAGGUACUCCGGGGAUAACAGGCUGAUACCGCCCAAGAGUUCAUAUCGACGGCGGUGUUUGGCACCUCGAUGUCGGCUCAUCACAUCCUGGGGCUGAAGUAGGUCCCAAGGGUAUGGCUGUUCGCCAUUUAAAGUGGUACGCGAGCUGGGUUUAGAACGUCGUGAGACAGUUCGGUCCCUAUCUGCCGUGGGCGCUGGAGAACUGAGGGGGGCUGCUCCUAGUACGAGAGGACCGGAGUGGACGCAUCACUGGUGUUCGGGUUGUCAUGCCAAUGGCACUGCCCGGUAGCUAAAUGCGGAAGAGAUAAGUGCUGAAAGCAUCUAAGCACGAAACUUGCCCCGAGAUGA